rnacentral:rRNA from 1 species
GGGGAAUAUUGCGCAAUGGGGGGAACCCUGACGCAGCCAUGCCGCGUGAAUGAAGAAGGCCUUCGGGUUGUAAAGUUCUUUCGGUAUUGAGGAAGGUUGAUGUGUUAAUAGCACAUCAAAUUGACGUUAAAUACAGAAGAAGCACCGGCUAACUCCGUGCCAGCAGCCGCGGCAAUACGGAGGGUGCGAGCGUUAAUCGGAAUAACUGGGCGUAAAGGGCACGCAGGCGGUUAUUUAAGUGAGGUGUGAAAGCCCCGGGCUUAACCUGGGAAUUGCAUUUCAGACUGGGUAACUAGAGUACUUUAGGGAGGGGUAGAAUUCCACGUGUAGCGGUGAAAUGCGUAGAGAUGUGGAGGAAUACCGAAGGCGAAGGCAGCCCCUUGGGAAUGUACUGACGCUCAUGUGCGAAAGCGUGGGGAGCAAACAGGAUUAGAUACCCUGGUAGUCCACGCUGUAAACGCUGUCGAUUUGGGGGUUGGGGUUUAACUCUGGCGCCCGUAGCUAACGUGAUAAAUCGACCGCCUGGGGAGUACGGCCGCAAGGUUA